rnacentral:rRNA from 1 species
GACGAACGCUGGCGGCGUGCUUAACACAUGCAAGUCGAACGGAAAGGCCCUGCUUUUGUGGGGUGCUCGAGUGGCGAACGGGUGAGUAACACGUGAGUAACCUGCCCUUGACUUUGGGAUAACUUCAUGAAACUGGGGCUAAUACCGGAUAGGAGCUCCUGCUGCAUGGUGGGGGUUGGAAAGUUUCGGCGGCUGGGGAUGGACUCGCGGCUUGUCAGCUUGUUGGUGGGGUAGUGGCUUACCAAGGCUUUGACGGGUAGCCGGCCUGAGAGGGUGGCCGGCCACAUUGGGACUGAGAUACGGCCCAGACUCCUACGGGAGGCAGCAGUGGGGAAUAUUGCACAAUGGGCGGAAGCCUGAUGCAGCAACGCCGCGUGCGGGAUGACGGCCUUCGGGUUGUAAACCGCUUUCGCCUGUGACGAAGCGUGAGUGACGGUAAUGGGUAAAGAAGCACCGGCUAACUACGUG